UCUUAUGGAUGAACAAUAAAAGUGGUUUCUUGAGAUGGGAGCUACUCCUGGUGAAGAUGCUGUGAA
rnacentral:pre_miRNA from 1 species